UACGUAGGGGGGCAAGCGUUGUCCGGAAUUAUUGGGCGUAAAGAGCGUGUAGGCGGCCAGAUAAGUCCGCUGUGAAAUCUCGAAGGCUCAACUUCGAGCUGUCGGUGGAAACUAUCUGGCUAGAGUCCGGAAGAGGAGAAUGGAAUUCCUGGUGUAGCGGUGAAAUGCGCAGAUAUCAGGAAGAACACCCGUGGCGAAGGCGGUUCUCUGGGACGGUACUGACGCUGAGACGCGAAAGCGUGGGGGAGCGAACAGG
rnacentral:rRNA from 1 species